GACGAACGCUAGCGGCGUGCUUAACACAUGCAAGUCGAACGGAAAGGCCCUUCUUUUGUGGGGUGCUCGAGUGGCGAACGGGUGAGUAACACGUGAGUAACCUGCCCUUGACUUUGGGAUAACUUCAGGAAACUGGGGCUAAUACCGGAUAGGAGCUCCUGCUGCAUGGUGGGGGUUGGAAAGUUUCGGCGGUUGGGGAUGGACUCGCGGCUUAUCAGCUUGUUGGUGGGGUAGUGGCUUACCAAGGCUUUGACGGGUAGCCGGCCUGAGAGGGUGACCGGCCACAUUGGGACUGAGAUACGGCCCAGACUCCUACGGGAGGCAGCAGUGGGGAAUAUUGCACAAUGGGCGGAAGCCUGAUGCAGCAACGCCGCGUGCGGGAUGACGGCCUUCGGGUUGUAAACCGCUUUCGCCUGUGACGAAGCGUGAGUGACGGUAAUGGGUAAAGAAGCACCGGCUAACUACGUG
rnacentral:rRNA from 1 species